CACACAUAUAUACACUCAUCAUGCCGGCUGCCAGGUUGCUAACAUACAAGUUCUGUACACACACACACACACACACACACACACACACACACACACACACACACAUCCAUUGUAAUCCAGGAUUUCUUUCAUGUAGCUAUUUCACGUUUUCCUUUGGAAUGUUUUGCAGCUACAUCUGUUAUUCCCUAGGGUAUCCUUCAUCCCCUCCUCCUCUUCCCUCUUCAUUCCUUCCUCCUUCCUACAUCUCUCAAACGUUAGUGUCGCAAUCUUUUUAUUCUGUCUCUCCCAAUGACACGUCACUCAAACAUCUCUUUGUCCUGUGCUAUCGUAAUACUGCGUUGCACAUACGUUCGUACAUCCUUGGAUCUGCUGCAUUACUUACUGGUGGCCGCAGUCACUCGCGUCCACCAGCUUUAAGAAAGGAAGCUGCCGAUCUGAAUUCAUCUUUGUAUUCCUACUGAUGAUGGUUGUGGCGGUGAUGGUGCUUUGUGUAACAUAAACAAAGGAAAUUAUAAAGCUGUUCAUAUACAAGUGAGUGAAUGACUGUUUUUUUCUUUUAGGAAUGACUUUUUGAGCAAUCUUGCCUAUUAUCAUAACUAGUAAGUCACAACUUCAAGCAGUAGUUACUCCUGCUACUUCUACGCCAUAAGCUACGCGCUAUCACCACUACCGCAACCAUCACCUUCUUUCUCUAGCUUAUAUCACCAGUGCAGUCGCGUCAGCCGUGAAUGUCAAUUGUCCUCAGCCUCCGGGAAGCCUCGUCACUGGUAUCGAUGACUUCCCUACCAUUGUGUUCAGCAAGUCUCCGGAAAUAACGCGCAUAUACAUAAUAGGAUAUGUCGCAACUGCGAAGGAGACAACGUGGCGUGGUCUGAUAGCUGGCCUGCCUGAGGGUUUCGAAAGAGUGUGUUCAGGAAUGCCACAAUGUCCUCACUUCCACACCGCCACCAUGACAUGCAAGAGGAAGCGGCUUUCUGAUUGGUCACUCUCCCCGGAAGCUGCCUCGUUAUUGAUGUACUGCGACCAUGGAUAUUGUUCCGCACCCCACGGGACGCCACGCUUCAUUUGUACUCAACGCAGCUUGGAGUACACUCACGCUCGCCUGGCAAUCUACUUGCCUGCCUUUCUUUGACUGGUCCUCCUGUCAAGCACAGCCAGUCUACCUCUACAGUCUACUGUCUACAGUCACACUCCAGUGUGUAGACUGUAAUCCUGCAUCAUCACGCAAGCUACAAGCUUCAUUCAAGGCGCCCAGACUACAAGUUUCUGGCCGCCGGCUACUCAUCAAGCCUCCACGCGCUCGCUACCAAGUAUUUUGUAUUCCUACAAUA
rnacentral:lncRNA from 1 species